rnacentral:misc_RNA from 1 species
GAUCAGCUCUCUUUAAAUACAUUAGCUUGGAAUGUAUAAGCCAUUUUAGCUUAAGCUGAUAUGAAUACUAUGUAUUAAAUGCUUUUGCUUGAAGUGUUGCUUGUCUGAGCUUAUAACUGUCUCCAAUGUUGAGACUGUCUUUGACAUUUUAAAAUCUUGAUCAUGACCUCAAAUCAGGUAGGACUACCCGCUGAACUUAA